CCCUUAGAUGUCCUGGGCCGCACGCGCGCUACACUGAACGGAUCAGCGCGUUUUCCCUUCCCGAGAGGGACGGGUAUCCUGCUGAACCCCGUUCGUGGUAGGGAUCGGGGCUUGCAAUUAUUCCCCGUGAACCAGGAAUGCCCAGUAAGUGCAAGUCAUAAGCUUGCGUUGAUUACGUCCCUGCCCUUUGUACACACCGCCCGUCGCUACUACCGAUUGAACGUUUUAGUGAGGUACUCGGACUGAGCCUCAGAAGAUUCACGUCUUUUGUGCUGCUCGGGAAGAUUCCCAAACUUGAGCGUUUAGAGGAAGUAAAAGUCGUAACA
rnacentral:rRNA from 1 species